rnacentral:sRNA from 1 species
UCCUAGCCCCGAUUGUAACGGCAUCCUUUUUCUCAAUGGCUUUGGAAAAAGCGCUGGCGAAAAAGAUACAGUGAAAAGCGGGAAAUAGC